rnacentral:lncRNA from 10 species
AAAGCCUGGGUGCUUUCUCCUUUGGCACCAGCGAGACAUCCAAACCAUGGAAACCUCUGCCCAUAUGGAAUGCUCACCCUGGUCCCACGGUGAAUCAUAAUAGAGACCCAAGCCAGUCACCUUUCCUGGCCCUCACAAACCAUUUCUGACCUGCUUGAGAGGUCUGCCCGGUUCUCCCAGAGACCUCAAUUAUCCUUUCAGAGCUGGAUGCAUAAGUCAAGCAGCAUCAAUGCCAAUGACCUGUGAGGAAACAUUUAAGAAGGAGACACUACCUCUCUUUUCUGAAGAAUCAAAUCAGUGACUCAUUCUAAUUCUCUUGGGUGUGUGGAAGGAGGAUGAGAGCUUUGAACCUACAGCUACUGUUUAGUAACUACGAGGCGAUGUCCUGAGAUUUCCUACUAGGUCUCUGUCUGAGGAUGUAGUCAGUAUUUGAAAAAAGAACAGAGGGAUAAGGAGAAAAAUCAUCUGUAGCAUGACUCAAGUUG